UUCAUCAUUUAUAUUUGCAUUUCACAUUUGACGAGAUAUUCAUAAAAUAUAAUUUUGAUUAAUCAUAUUUAAUUCGAGUAUCUACUUUUCAUUGUUUAUUAAAAGUUUGUGGCAUUUAUCAAACCUAUUCUAAUAGCAAGCAAUAUUGAACAAUUGUUUAAAUUUCUUGAUUUAUCCAAGAUGAAGGUUUGGAAUUCCGUUCCAAAAGCAGGGACAUGGACGGCAGCAUCGUGUAUGUUUAUUCAACGGUUCUUAGAAAUCGUUUCUAUAUUCCUACUAGACAACCAACACGUCAUCAUGUGUCUCACCGUCUCGUUUAUGACUAGCUGGACAAUAAUAUUAUAUUCCACGACCAACAUUUGGCUGCUAUACGUGGCACGUCUGAUCACCGGAUCCGUCAUAUUAAUUUUCACGUCUUCAUUACCGGUGGA